rfam:Asian citrus Psyllid, Diaphorina citri - Florida Strain, whole genome shotgun sequence.
UGGCGUAGUGGUCACUGCGCUCGCCUUGCACGCGGGAGACCCAGGUUCGAUUCCCGG